AUUGAACGCUGGCGGCAUGCUUUACACAUGCAAGUCGAACGGCAGCGCGGGCUUCGGCCUGGCGGCGAGUGGCGAACGGGUGAGUAAUGCAUCGGAACGUGCCCAGUAGUGGGGGAUAGCCCGGCGAAAGCCGGAUUAAUACCGCAUACGACCUGAGGGUGAAAGCGGGGGACCGAAAGGCCUCGCGCUAUUGGAGCGGCCGAUGUCGGAUUAGCUAGUUGGUGGGGUAAAGGCUUACCAAGGCGACGAUCCGUAGCUGGUCUGAGAGGACGACCAGCCACACUGGGACUGAGACACGGCCCAGACUCCUACGGGAGGCAGCAGUGGGGAAUUUUGGACAAUGGGGGCAACCCUGAUCCAGCCAUGCCGCGUGCGGGAAGAAGGCCUUCGGGUUGUAAAACGCUUUUGUUAGGGAAGAAAAAAUCUGGGCUAAUACCCCGGGGGGAUGACGGUACCGGAAGAAUAAGCACCGGCUAACUACGUG
rnacentral:rRNA from 1 species